ensembl:snRNA U7 U7 small nuclear RNA
AUGUACAUUAGCUCUUUUAGUAUUUCUCCAGUAGGUUUCUUCCAGGAUAAAGCCCCC